UGGGGAAUAUUGCACAAUGGGCGCAAGCCUGAUGCAGCAACGCCGCGUGAGGGAUGACGGCCUUCGGGUUGUAAACCUCUUUUAGUAGGGAAGAAGCGAAAGUGACGGUACCUGCAGAAAAAGCACCGGCUAACUACGUGCCAGCAGCCGCGGUAAUACGUAGGGUGCGAGCGUUGUCCGGAAUUAUUGGGCGUAAAGAGCUCGUAGGCGGUCUGUCGCGUCUGCUGUGAAAACCCGAGGCUCAACCUCGGGCCUGCAGUGGGUACGGGCAGACUAGAGUGCGGUAGGGGAGAAUGGAAUUCCUGGUGUAGCGGUGGAAUGCGCAGAUAUCAGGAGGAACACCGAUGGCGAAGGCAGUUCUCUGGGCCGUAACUGACGCUGAGGAGCGAAAGCGUGGGGAGCGAACAGGAUUAGAUACCCUGGUAGUCCACGCCGUAAACGUUGGGCGCUAGAUGUGGGGACCAUUCCACGGUUUCCGUGUCGCAGCUAACGCAUUAAGCGCCCCGCCUGGGGAGUACGGCCGCAAGGCUAAAACUUAAAGGAAUUGACGGGGUCAUAGCUGUUUCCU
rnacentral:rRNA from 1 species